UACUAAAAACCCUCCACCGGAUUUGAACCAAACCAAACUCAUCUCUCUUCUCCCACCACCCCAAUCUCAUACCCUCCUCCCUUUCAUUUCCAAAUCUCAACCCCCAGAUAAUCAAUGGCGACAAAUUCCCAUCACAACCAGAAGCGCUUACUACACGAGCUCCUCCAAGACGACCAGGAACCAUUCCUCCUCCACGCCUACAUUUCCGACCGCCGCCGCCUAAUCGUC
rnacentral:lncRNA from 1 species